CGGGAAGGAAACACCAGCAGACCCGUCCAACUCCCGGCAAACCGAAAGCGACGGCGCUAAAUAAGGCGCCCAUCAUCCCACUCACUUGAUGAAGAAGACCCUGCCGUCCCCGCAGACACCGUAGGACCAGCGCUCAGUUGGCGGCGUGUAGUUUGGAGGCACCUCAACAGAAACAAAAGGAACUCCUGACAAGGCAGAGCGAGCUGAAGGCCAGAGGAGAGGAAACACUACACCUAAUCAAACUCUACACUGUGUUUAGCCCGUCUGGGUGUUGGUCAGACACACUAAUCCUCAUGAGUUGAUGCUGGAAACGAUAAAUGGCCACCGCUACUUACUACUACUACUUCUCAUACGUUACAUGAGUCACAGUUUUGGGGAAGUAAUGGUUCCGGAUUACAAUGUUAGUGGGCAUUCCUUCACUUGAAUUAAUGUUUUCAUUAUUUCUCUUAGAGUGAAACUAAAUCACUCCUUCUUUUUAUGAGGGCCUGCGGAGCCACCUGAAGUCCCCUCCAGGGACGCCGAAGUCCGCUUGGUUAAUCGCUGAGCCGGACCAGCUGAGAAAAACCCACUGCCUCUGCUGCUGCUCUGCUGCCGAUUCUUCCGUUGCUGCAAUCACCUGCAAUCCUUUCAACGCCUCGCCGCUCCCGCCAGUUGCUUGGAGACGGGGUCGUCUAGGCCACAGGGCUGAUGAUACUUGGAGAGGAGGAAGAGGAGGAAGACGGAGACGAAUGCGCAGAGAGGGAGGAGUGGGCUCGAAAAAGAAAAGAAAGGAAAAGGAGGAGGGAGGGCAAAAUUGGGUGCAGUAACGGGAAAUCUUUUGGUUCGAUGGCUGUAAAUAACAUAUUUAUGAUGCAAGAAAAGCUCUAAAAACAUCAAUGGUGAAAUAAUUUCAGGUUGUCAACAAAUCAGAGACCAAAAGCUAGCAAACAAAAUUUAUUUAUACAGGAUGUUGUAUCUGUUCUCACUGUAAUUAAAUAGGAUCCAGACUUUUGGAUUAUUGAAAACUGUUCCUUGAAAAUAGUUUCCUCGCCUCAUAACGGAGCAAAUAUCUCCCUGGUGCUGUAAAAAAAAAAAACUGAAGGCUGUUGAAAGGUUGAAAGGUUUCUACACAGACGCUUCAUGAUGCCGUGAAGUACAUAAAAUGAUUCAAGCCGCUGAUAUUACAGAGUAACCAAACUGAAAUCUUUUCACACAUUGAUCCAUUUUGACUAAAUCCAGUUGUUAUUUUUCUCUGUGUGCAAGGUCAGCAGGAGAUCAGUUUUAAAUGAACAACAUGUGGGUGGGAGGGCGGUGGGACAACAUCAGCAAAAGACCCACCGCCUGGUUGAUACAGCAACAGUGUCAGCGAUUGCUCACCUUUGCACCAUGCUCGGCGUGUGUGUUUGGGGGGGGUGUGGGCAGCAGAGACCUCCUAAUUGAUUUCAUCCCUCAGGAAAGUCAUUUCAUCAUACUUGGUGUUUUUAACCCUUGUCUUACGACAGCCUUACAGCACUCAGUCUGCAUGGAGACUCACCG